CACAGAUAUAUGCAAGGUCAGAUAAAACAACUCUUCAGUAACCUGUUCAUUAAAAGGACUGUGCAAAACAAAAAGAGGUUAUCAAUUAGAGUUGAGGCAAGGAGAGUUUGCUUAAGACAUACAAAAGAGUUCUUUAAAGAUAGCAUAAUAAAAAUUGAAGUGUGUAACUAAAGAAGCAAUUGUAUCAGAUUCUGUAGAUUUUUUAUUUUUUUAAGUUUGGACAUUUUAUAGGAAUAAACAUGAGUUUUCACAGAUAUAAUGUUUAAUAUGCAUUGUGUAGAUCAGGUGAGACAUUUGAUUCAAAAUAAUAUUUUACUCAUUUUGUGGCACAUCCUAAAAUUGCUUUAAAAUUAGUUUAUCAAUUUUCUUUUGAAUUAAGCAGAAACAAGUAUGUGAAUGGUUGAACUUGAUGGACUCUCCUGUCUUUUCCACCUAAACUGUGUUUAUUUAUAUUUACUUGUCAUUAUUGAUUACAAUUAUACACUUUAGAAAAAUUAUUGGAGUGCUCCUUUUUACUAUAUAUAAAUAUAGUAUAUAUAUAGUGA